CUCGGAGCAGAUAAAACGUGUGUAGGAAUUCGGAGACAAGAUUCCUCCUACGACUUUGCCCUGCCCGACUCUGUGGCCGUGAACGUGCAAGACCCCAGCUGUGAUGCAGAGUGGAGCAUUGAUCAAUUCACAGCUAUCCUGGAAGGAAAUGUAGCACACUUUAAACAUCCCUUCAGAAAAGUAAACCGUACUGGAAUCAGUGUGGCUUACUGUCCAUUUUCAGUCAGAUUCCAUGUCUCUUGUCAUGAUUAUGCCAAACACCUCACAUGUUCUUGCACCAAUUCCACCAGCAUCUAUCCAGUGUUUAGCACAACUCUGCCAUAUGGAGAUUUAUCCUCGACUGCACUCGAAACUCAUUCCUCAGUGAGACAACACUAUGGUGCUAUUGCUGCUGCUGUAGGUUUGGUCAUUAUCCUUGUCAUUUUGGGUU